GGGUUUGAUCCUGGCUCAGGAUGAGCGCUGGCGGCGUGCCUGAUACAUGCAAGUCGAACGGACCAACACGUCGCGAUUGGCCAAAGGCUUUUAGCUUGAGGUCAAGAGCUGUGUUGGUUAGUGGCGAACGGGUGAGUAACACGUAGGUGACCUGCCCUGAAGUGGGGGAUAACUGCUGGAAACGGUAGCUAAUACCCCAUGUGGUCCGUCAUUCGGUUGGCGGAUUAAAGCUCCGGCGCUUUGGGAUGGGCCUGCGGCCGAUUAGCUAGUUGGUAGGGUAAUGGCCUACCAAGGCGAUGAUCGGUAGCUGGUCUGAGAGGAUGAUCAGCCACACUGGCACUGAGAUACGGGCCAGACUCCUACGGGAGGCAGCAGUAAGGAAUAUUGCGCAAUGGGGGAAACCCUGACGCAGCAACGCCGCGUGGGCGAUGAAGGUCUUCGGAUCGUAAAGCCCUUUUUCUGGGGGAUGAGAAAGGACAGUACCUCAGGAACAAGUCUCGGCUAACUACGUGCCAGCAGCCGCGGUAAAACGUAGGAGGCAAGCGUUAUCCGGAUUUAUUGGGCGUAAAGGGCGUCUAGGCGGUGGCUCAAGUUGGGCGUGAAAUCUCCUGGCUCAACCGGGAGGGGCCGUUCAAUACUGGGACACUUGAGGCCAGGAGAGGAAAGCGGAAUUCCCGGUGUAGUGGUGGAAUACUUAGAUAUCGGGAGGAACACCAGUGGCGAAGGCGGCUUUCUGGCCUGUACCUGACGCUAAAGCGCGAAAGCGUGGGUAGCAAACGGGAUUAGAUACCCCGGUAGUCCACGCCGUAAACGAUGGAUACUAGGUGUUGGUGGCUAUUGACCCCACCAGUGUCGUAGUUAACGCGUUAAGUACCCCGCCUGGGGACUACGGCCGCAAGGCUAAAACUCAAAGGAAUUGACGGGGGCCCGCACAAGCAGCGGAGCGUGUGGUUUAAUUCGAGUCUACGCGAAGAACCUUACCUGGGCUUGACAUGUUGGUGUUAGUGAAGCGAAAGCGGAGCGACCCUUCGGGGAGCCAACACAGGUGCUGCAUGGCUGUCGUCAGCUCGUGCCGUGAGGUGUUAGGUUAAGUCCUGUAACGAGCGCAACCCUCAUCACUAGUUGUACUUCUCUAGUGAGACCGCCAGGGUAUACCUGGAGGAAGGUGGGGAUGACGUCAAGUCAGCAUGGCCUUUACGUCCGGGGCUACACACGUGCUACAAUCGCUGGUACAAAGGGUUGCAAGACCGCGAGGUGGAGCCAAUCCCAGAAAGCCAGCCUCAGUUCGGAUCGGAGUCUGCAACUCGACUCCGUGAAGUUGGAAUCGCUAGUAAUCGCAGAUCAGCAGGCUGCGGUGAAUACGUUCCCGGGCCUUGUACACACCGCCCGUCAAGCCACGAAAGCCGGGAGUACCCGAAGCCGUUAUCUCAGCUCUACGGAGAGGGAGGCGUCGAAGGUAAGCCUGGUAAUUGGGGCUAAGUCGUAACAAGGUA
rnacentral:rRNA from 1 species